GCUAUCGCUGCCAAACCCUUUUUUUCUCCCACCAUCGCUGUGCAAACUUUUUCUUUCUCCACAAUAUAGUCAUCUUUUUUAGCCCUAUUUUAGUUUGACACUUUGGUGACAUCAGGUCUCAUAGCAAUUUUCAAUUGAGAGGAGAUUCCCAUCAUUAAUCUUUCACAUGAAUCGUCUCCUUCUAAUCCCUUAAAUUUAUCUUUUUUCAAUCGAUUUCAGUAACCCAAGAAAAUCUUAUGUGAAUUUUGGGUCUAUUCGACGAGAUUCACGUCAGAGGAUGGUGUGAAAUUGUAUUUGUUAGCAAUUUGGGGUGUUGAUACAAUAGUCAGUGUCGGAUUACGAAAAGGUUAGCCAGACAUGACUGUUAAGUGGCUUUGGUUGUUGUUACUGUGGGAGUUGGAGGAGAAAAUAAAAAUAGCGAUGUUGUGCGGCGGAUAUAAAGACGGAUGAGGGAGAAAACACUACAAACUUUAUCAUUGGUGAACUUCAGCGUAGCAGUCCACAAACCAGGUCCUUUGCAACAAAUUUUAUCAGCUAAGUAGAACAAACAUGACCUGGACGUCGGUGCCACAGAUCAUCAUUAUCGGUUUGAGAACUUACACAAGAAGGAUCUUCUCCUUUUAUAAAAUCAAGAUUUUGUAGAUAUGUUUUUGGAUAUGACAUGACAAAGACUAAACUUUAAGGGCUCGAUUGGUGUCAGGGAUAAGUAUAAAUAGUCAUUACAUAAUAAAAAAAAAUAUUCCUAGGAUAAAAUUUAGAUGUCUUGUUUUAUUGACAUGUUUGGGAUAACUUAUCCCACCAUUUAUAGUAUAGUGUUUGGGAUAAGUUAUCCCAUAUACAUGAUGGGAUAAGUUUAUCCCAAGAUAACCAAUACCAAGACAUUUUAUCCAGGGGUAACUAGUUCCCAACCAAACGACCUCUGUGUUCUUUGCCCAACUUCCGUUCAUUCUUCAGUGAAGACACAAGCAUAGAAGAUAUGGACUAACUCAUUCUUACUUUGGUAUGAAUAUUAUCUAUGUUUUUGUUUGAUUAUGCAAAUAUUGAAACUUACAUCA